AGAAAUGGGAGAAAAAAGUGAGUAAUAGUAAUAGAUGUGAUUAACAUUUAAUGUUUGAACAUAAAUAUGAAGAGAAGAAACCAAAAAAACCAUCAAAGCAAAAGAAAUGGAAGCCUGAAUGCAACAAAUUACUCUGCUACCCAAGACUUAUGAAUGAAUCAAAAUGGUAAUCACAGCACGUUAAAAAUGAAGAGAGAGGGUAUGGCGUAAUUAAUACAGUAAACUUUAUUCAUUCAACAAAAUAAAAAGAGAUUAGGAAAAUAUUGUGCUUAUGGAGAUUCUAACAUCCAAUCAAAACAUUCACUGUCUAUCAUGGUCAGUUAAGAUUAAGGGAAACACAUUAAAGGGGAAUCAUGUCAUGAAUGUUUGGUACAGUUUACAAGCCUACAGCUAAUGAGGCUAGG
rnacentral:misc_RNA from 1 species